rnacentral:misc_RNA from 1 species
GAUGAAGAACGUAGCGAAAUGCGAUAAGUAGUGUGAAUUGCAGAAUUCAGUGAAUCAUCGAAUCUUUGAACGCACAUUGCGCCCCUUGGUAUUCCAUGGGGCAUGCCUGUUCGAGCGUCAUUUGUACCUUCAAGCUCUGCUUGGUGUUGGGUGUUUGUCUCGCCUUGCGCGUAGACUCGCCUUAAAACAAUUGGCAGCCGGCGUAUUGAUUUCGGAGCGCAGUACAUCUCGCGCUUUGCACUCAUAACGACGACGUCCAAAAGUACUUUUUACACUCUUGACCUCGGAUCAGGUAGGGAUACCCGCUGAUCUUAAGCAUAUCAAUAAGCGGAGGA